rnacentral:rRNA from 1 species
AAUGGAGGAAACUCUAAUGCAGCAACGCCGCGUGGAGGACGAAGGUUUUCGGAUUGUAAACUCCUGUCUUUUGGGACGAUAAUGACGGUACCAAAAGAGGAAGCCACGGCUAACUACGUGCCAGCAGCCGCGGUAAUACGUAGGUGGCGAGCGUUGUCCGGAAUUACUGGGCGUAAAGAGUAUGUAGGCGGAUAUUUAAGUCAGAUGUGAAAUUCCCGGGCUUAACCCGGGAGCUGCAUUUGAUACUGGAUGUCUAGAGUGCAGUAGAGGAAAGUGGAAUUCCUAGUGUAGCGGUGAAAUGCGUAGAGAUUAGGAAGAACACCAGUGGCGAAGGCGACUUUCUGGACUGUAACUGACGCUGAGAUACGAAAGCGUGGGGAGCAAA